AAGUCGUAACAAGGUUUCCGUAGGUGAACCUGCGGAAGGAUCAUUAUUAUUUGGGUUGGGUUUACUUUUUCAAAAUUCUAUAUCGACCUUUUUUUAUUUUAAAAAGUAAACUUAUACCAAAUAAGUUUAUUGAAAACUUAUGUUCUAGCUUCCCUAUUAUAGGGAGGAGCAAGAUGAACUUUAUUUAAAACCAUCCACUCUUUAAAAAUAUAUUUUAAUUAUAAAACAAAAAAAGAUCACUUUCAACAACGGAUCUCUUGGCUCUC
rnacentral:misc_RNA from 1 species